CGGAGCGCUGCUGAGGCUGAGGGGUGAGAGGGAAGGAAGAAAGAUGGAGAUAGUGAAGCAAAGAGUGAGAGAAGCAGAACGAAGAAAGUGGGAGGACAGAGAAAUCAGAUGAGCAGGGAUGUAGGGACAAGAAGACAUGGAAUGGGUAGACAAAAGAUGUAGAGAAAGGAGGAGAGAGAAAGAGAGAGAGAGAGAGGGGAGGAAAAGAAGAAGGGAGGUUUGAGUGAUGGCAGUUGAAAGCUUUGGGAGGAGCGGAGCACUGAGCAGCAUCAGCCAGCGCUGUGAGAGCAUGUUGAGCCUGCAGGGACAGCCGGGGGGUCAGCUGUCAGCCGUAAGGACUGAAGUCAGCUGAGCGAGCGGAGAAACGGCGGGGCGUUGGAAGAAGCUUAAAAGAUGGACGCCUUCAACAGAGAUGUGAAGAGUGUGUAACUUUCUAACGACACAGAGAGGAGGAGACGGAGACAAUCUGAAGGCCACAUGAAGUUUGAAGAUCUGUAAUGACUGACUCUGCAGAACCUGGCGACCUCUUCACACUAUGUGCUUCAGGAUCCGCUGACCCCGCUCCAUCAGUUUUCAUGACCUACCACAUCAUGGCUGAGUUGCUGUCGUUCCCAAACACUUCCAUUUUCUGAUAAUACAGCUGACAGUUGACUGGAAUAUUUAGGAGCUAGGAAAUUUCACAACUAAUUUGUUGCACAGGAGCCAUCCUACCACAGUUCUGUGGGCUGUGGGAAGGUGCGAAGUAUCCUGGGGGCAUGUUUAUUAUUAAUGAUUUGAAAUAAAUAAAAUUAUUAUUCUUGCCAUAAGAGUAAAAUAAACACACAUUACCACCACUCCUAUGAAUAACUAAUAAAACCAAACUCUAUGUUUGUCAGUACCAUUCAUUAAACCAGCAGUUUACUUCUUUACCUUGAACAUCAUUAAUUGUGGUACCAUUUAAAAUCAUGUUUUCCUGCUGAGUGUACAAUCAGAGGAAUCAUGCCAGAUUAUGAUUGGUAGAAACCAGAUCUUGGGCCUCCCAGGGGCCCGGGGUUACAGUUUUACUAAAUCUCCUCUUGCUGCAAACCUAGUUUUUCUGACAUGAUUGGAGUGUUCCCACUCAGCGGGGCUGCUUCAAGGUGGAUUAGGGCUUGCUGCUGUGAGACCAAAGUUAUUCUCAGCUUCAUCAUAACCCUGUCCUCAAUUCCAAAGCACUUUAUAAAUAAAUGAGCAAAUUGAGCGCUGCUACAUUUAUGGACUGGGCCUUUUGUUUCACAGAGCAACUCUGCCAGAUUUUAUCUUUAAUUGGGAAUUUUGUAAAAGAUGAACUGCUGCAGUGCUGAGGUCAAGAUUCUAAAUUACAUAUUUCCAACAUUUAAUUGCUGAUUAAAUUGAUUUGCCUUUAUUGUCUUUUCUUUAGGUUAAAUCGAGGUGUGUGUGUGUGACCUGUUUCACAUCAUCAGCCUGUAAAAUAUGAAAGCAGAACUCCUGUGUGCAAACUGCCCCCCAGUGGAGAGACUGUGAUUGACGUGGAAACUGGUCCCAGUAUUUGUUGAGGCUCCAACCUGGGUACUGCUGCAGCUAUGUGUAUGGACAAGGGGUCGGUGUGUUUUCUCUCACCCUGCUGAGGGCUUGGUAAGACUGAACGGCGUGGAUCCAGGCCAGAACCGGAGCCUUGUUGUCUGAUGUUCCUCUUCC